rnacentral:rRNA from 1 species
UACGGAGGAUCCGAGCGUUAUCCGGAUUUAUUGGGUUUAAAGGGUGCGUAGGCGGAAUUUUAAGUUAGUCGUUAAAUCUCAGGGCUUAACCCCGACGGUGCGAUUAAUACUGGAGUUCUAGAGAUUAGAUGCAGAGGGCGGAAUGUGUAGUGUAGCGGUGAAAUGCUUAGAUAUUACACAGAACACCGAUUGCGAAGGCAGCUCUCUAAUCUACAUCUGACGCUGAGGCACGAAAGCGUGGGGAUCAAACAGG